rnacentral:rRNA from 1 species
AUUGAACGCUGGCGGCAGGCCCAACACAUGCAAGUCGAACGAGUGGCGGACGGGUGAGUAAUGUCUGGGAAACUGCCCGAUGGAGGGGGAUAACUACUGGAAACGGUAGCUAAUACCGCAUACCAUCGGAUGUGCCCAGAUGGGUUUAACUAGUAGGUGGGGUAAUGGCUCACCUAGGCGACGAUCCCUAGCUGGUCUGUGCGGAUGACAAGCCACACUGGGCCUGAGACACGGUCCAGACACCUACGAGAGUCAGCAGUAGAGAAUAUUGCACAAGGGGCUCAAGCCUGAUGCAGCCAUGCCGCGUGUAUGAAGGAGGCCUUCGGGUUGUAAAGUACUUUCAGCGGGGAGGCGUAGCCCGCAGAAGAGGCACCGGCUAACUCCGUGCCAGCAGCCGCGGUAAGUC